GAUAAACGCUGGCGGCGUGCCUAAUACAUGCAAGUCGAGCGAACGGACGAGAAGCUUGCUUCUCUGAUGUUAGCGGCGGACGGGUGAGCAACACGUGGAUAACCUACCUAUAAGACUGGGAUAACUUCGGGAAACCGGAGCUAAUACCGGAUAAUAUUUUGAACCGCAUGGUUCAAAAGUGAAAGACGGUCUUGCUGUCACUUAUAGAUGGAUCCGCGCUGCAUUAGCUAGUUGGUAAGGUAACGGCUUACCAAGGCAACGAUGCAUAGCCGACCUGAGAGGGUGAUCGGCCACACUGGAACUGAGACACGGUCCAGACUCCUACGGGAGGCAGCAGUAGGGAAUCUUCCGCAAUGGGCGAAAGCCUGACGGAGCAACGCCGCGUGAGUGAUGAAGGUCUUCGGAUCGUAAAACUCUGUUAUUAGGGAAGAACAUAUGUGUAAGUAACUGUGCACAUCUUGACGGUACCUAAUCAGAAAGCCACGGCUAACUACGUGCCAGCAGCCGCGGUAAUACGUAGGUGGCAAGCGUUAUCCGGAAUUAUUGGGCGUAAAGCGCGCGUAGGCGGUUUUUUAAGUCUGAUGUGAAAGCCCACGGCUCAACCGUGGAGGGUCAUUGGAAACUGGAAAACUUGAGUGCAGAAGAGGAAAGUGGAAUUCCAUGUGUAGCGGUGAAAUGCGCAGAGAUAUGGAGGAACACCAGUGGCGAAGGCGACUUUCUGGUCUGUAACUGACGCUGAUGUGCGAAAGCGUGGGGAUCAAACAGGAUUAGAUACCCUGGUAGUCCACGCCGUAAACGAUGAGUGCUAAGUGUUAGGGGGUUUCCGCCCCUUAGUGCUGCAGCUAACGCAUUAAGCACUCCGCCUGGGGAGUACGACCGCAAGGUUGAAACUCAAAGGAAUUGACGGGGACCCGCACAAGCGGUGGAGCAUGUGGUUUAAUUCGAAGCAACGCGAAGAACCUUACCAAAUCUUGACAUCCUUUGACAACUCUAGAGAUAGAGCCUUCCCCUUCGGGGGACAAAGUGACAGGUGGUGCAUGGUUGUCGUCAGCUCGUGUCGUGAGAUGUUGGGUUAAGUCCCGCAACGAGCGCAACCCUUAAGCUUAGUUGCCAUCAUUAAGUUGGGCACUCUAAGUUGACUGCCGGUGACAAACCGGAGGAAGGUGGGGAUGACGUCAAAUCAUCAUGCCCCUUAUGAUUUGGGCUACACACGUGCUACAAUGGACAAUACAAAGGGCAGCGAAACCGCGAGGUCAAGCAAAUCCCAUAAAGUUGUUCUCAGUUCGGAUUGUAGUCUGCAACUCGACUACAUGAAGCUGGAAUCGCUAGUAAUCGUAGAUCAGCAUGCUACGGUGAAUACGUUCCCGGGUCU
rnacentral:rRNA from 1 species